rnacentral:lncRNA from 1 species
GCUUUGGGUGGCGCCGCCUUCAAUCCUGCCGGUACGGCGGCGUUUUAUGCUGCCGGAGUUGGAAAUGAUUCGCUCUUCUCCGUUGCUGCUCGAUUUCCUGCUCAGGUAUUGAUUUUAGCUUGAAUUUUAAGUAAUAAUGAAAGUUAGCCUAGUUUGAUACAACAAAUUAGAAAUAAUUUAAACUUGUAUAAAAUUGAACAAGUAAAUAUAUGUGUUUUGCUUAACAUUCCAUGUGACAAUUCACAAUUCACGUCCUACGUAAUAUCCUAGAUGUACUAUGCCACAUAUGAUGUGUAUGUCUAUUUUUUUUUUAUAUGUACUUGAUCAAUUUAUAUAAACUUAAGUCUCUACUUAUGCACAUAAAAAAUAUAAGGACGGUCAAAUUAAAUAAGAAUAUUCAUGUGUAAAGAAUUAAAAGUACUCCCCACCAAAAUGAUAAGAUGGUUCAUGGCUUUUAGUCAAGGAAUAUAAUGAACAUUACCAAACAAAAUAGAAUUCAAAGAAAUACUAAUCAACUAAAAGCAGCCAACUAUUGUCCUAAUCCUUACCAAACACUCAUCAAUACUUACCAUUAUAGUUUACACAGGAUUCAUUCACUAUAGUUUCAAAAUUAAAUUAAACAUCUAAACCUCAUAAAUAAAGUAUCCAAUAGGAAAUGAGAAAAGGUACAAAUAUGUAAUUAUUCAACUUUAUCUUUAGUUAUACUUAUUUCAUUUCAUACUCCCUUUGCUUUUAAUUGACCAUAUUAAUUUUAGUUGAUAAUUGAAGUGUAAAAAUCGCGAAAAAAGUGUUACUUCACCUUUUUUAAUGCUAUCACACCUAAUUAUUAUUUAAUUCCAUAUUCCCAACGAAAUAUACUUCUAAUUAAUCUCUAUUAGGUUAAUCAUCUCACUAUCCUUCUUCUUCUUCUUCCUCUCUUUCACCGAGUGGGAGAGAUUUUCAGUUUUCAGAAGCUAAGAAAACUCAAAAAUUUCAAAGAUUUUGUAUUCAAUGGGUGCUGUAAAAGCAGCUGUGGGUGAUUUUGUUUUGACAUUGAUGUGGGUUUUUUGUUCUUCCACUCUGGGGAUUUUCACUUACCUUAUUGCUACUGCUUUUGGGAUUGCUCAAGGAAUGGCUUCGCUAUUUAUUACUACUGUGCUUCUUUUUGUGCUCUUCUUUGUCUUUGGGAUUAUCGGCGAUGCUUUGGGUGGUGCCGCUUUUAAUCCUGCUGGUACAGCGGCGUUUUAUGCUGCUGGGGUUGGAAAAGAUUCUCUUUUUACCGUUGCCACCCGAUUCCCUGCUCAGGUUUUUGAUUUUGUUUCUUUUUUUUUAAAAAAAAAAAACCUUUUCUGGGUCCAGUUCUUACAUGGUUGAUUUUGCUUGAAUGGAGAAAUAUGAUCAGUGAAUGAGGAUUUGUAUAGUCGAUCCGGACUUGUUUAUGACUGAGGCGUAGCUGUUGUUUAUUUUGCUUGAAUUUUGAGGAAUAAUGGAAGUAGAGUUUUAAUUUUCUGAAAAAUCAACCUAUCAUAAUAGCAUUUGUGGAUUCCACUUUUUAAAGUGAACUUUUAAAAACCUUUUCUGGGUCUAGUUGUUAGGUAUUUACAUGGUUGAGCUUGCUUG